CCAUACUGCUGCACCAUCUGUUCCAAGUCCUUUGCGCUGGCUACUCACUUGAAGAGACAUGUGAAAACAAAGCACCAUGACAGUACUGAGAACCUACGUCACCCAAUUGGGCAUGGUGUGGAAGUCGCAAGAUCACCACAAUGAAAAACAGGGAAGCAGCCGGGCACAGCUGUCACUUGAACAUUCCACUAAAACAUGCAUCUUGCAAGGAUGAGGAAAAUAUAUUUGCGGGAACAUCCACUACACUCGCAAACGAUUGAGUCCACACUCAAAUUGUAAAAGAAAAAAAUGACUUACAAAUAUAUCCAUAUGACACCUUGUAACCUUUUCAGCAUGAUCAUUGCUGUGCAAUAUGUAAUAUAGGCUCAUCAUAUAGAGUUUUAUUUAUACCAGUUUCAUAGGGAAAAAUGGAAUGAAAAAAAUCCUAAUUGCAAGAAUUUUCUUCGCUGCUGAAAAGCUUUCCAAACUAGUUCAUUUCAAACGCGAGUGCUGUUCAGGAUUGUUCGUUUUUUUAUAUUAUUUAUUUUUCUUUAAUUGUAGCUGCUUUCCUUGAUACUUAUUUCGUGAUAUUGGUAUAGUUGAUUGCAAAGCAUUGUCUGAUAUCACUUUCUGUUUUUGUCUGCCUUGUUGAUUUUUAUUGUCCAGCUUGUUUUUACGGAGUUAUUGUUCAGCUUAGGGUUCUCACUGCUAUUUUAUUCAUUUUGUAUUUGUUUCUUGUACUUUUUAUUUCCACAUUAUUUAGUUGGAUAUUAUUAGGUCUAUGCUCAUUCAUCAAUGUUAUGCAAUGCAUUUGAACGGUUUCCUUUACAGCUAUUAAAUAAUUGUUCAUGCUCCAGUAUUGUAUUAUGCAUUAUUUAAUAUAUUUGUUUGCUAUAUUUAUGUAGUAUUUCUAUAUUAUGGUGCUUUAUUCAUGGCUGAUAGCUCUUGCUUUUUUUUAUUUACAUUGUUUAACAGGAGGUUGCCUUGACAGUUUUACUAUGGAACCUCCUUCUUUACUUGCCACAACUGUUCACAUAUAAUCUGUAUAACAAAAUGAUAUAAUAAACCUGGAAACCUUCCUCGCACACCUUC